UACGAAGGGGGCUAGCGUUGCUCGGAAUCACUGGGCGUAAAGCGCACGUAGGCGGAUUGCUAAGUCAGGGGUGAAAUCCUGGAGCUCAACUCCAGAACUGCCUUUGAUACUGGCGACCUUGAGUCCGGGAGAGGUGAGUGGAACUGCGAGUGUAGAGGUGAAAUUCGUAGAUAUUCGCAAGAACACCAGUGGCGAAGGCGACUUACUGGACGACCGUUGACGCUGAGGUACGAAAGCGUGGGGAGCAAACAGGG
rnacentral:rRNA from 1 species